AAAGUAGAGGCGCGAUGUCCAUCAGUAGCUUAUUGACAAGGCCGGACAGCCGUAAUAAGCGAAAGGGGCCAUCGCCGAAGUGUUGAACGUAUGUCCGUGUGUUCAAUGCUGGGCCUGCGGAGAAAAUCCGCAGGACUGUCACAUUUUGUGGAGCGCUACUGAA
rnacentral:ncRNA from 1 species